AAAAAAGACAACAUAUAUAUAGGUUCAACAAUGAGCAUUAGAAUAUUUUUCCCACAAAUGAUCAACUAAUGCAUUUCGUAAUGAAAAAUGAGCUUCUUUAUUUUUGAUAAAUGAGCUUCUUUAUUUUUGAUAUUCCUAAAUCGAGCAAGAAAAUUUUGAAAUCGGACAUUUUCAUCUUCUGCAAUUUUGAUAUCUGGAGGUGGAGCUUCUCUUCCAAGUUCAAUUGGUGCAUCAAGUUCACGCUCAUCUUCAAUUAUCAUGUUAUGUAAAAUUAUACAUGUAGUCAUAAUGUCAUGUAACACAUUUUUUUUUCCAAAAACGAACAGGUCCUUUGACAAUAGCAAAGCGCGACUGUAGAACUCCAAAUGCACGUUCAACAUCUUUCCUGCAUGCUUCUUGUUGCGUUGCAAAAUAUUUAUUUUUAGGACUCCUUGGCUCUUGAAUAGUUUGUACUAUGGUCGACCAUUUUGGAUAAAUACCAUCCGCUAAAUAGUAACCCAUAUAAUAUUCUUUGUCUUGAAUAAAAUAAUGAGCAGGAGGAGCAAUACCUUGAGCAAGAUUGGAAAAAAGAUAAGAAGAGUCCAACACGUUGAUAUCGUUAUUAGUGCCUGGCAUUCCGAAAUAUGCAUGCCAUAUCCAAAGAUCAUAAUCUGCGACAGCUUCAAGAAUUAUAGUUGGUGAUCCACUACGACCCGCAUAUUGUCCCGCCCAACCGGUAGGACAAUUCUUCCACUUCCAGUGCAUGCAAUCUAAACUGCCAAGCAUUCCAGGAAAUCCUCGUUUUUCACCAAUAUAAAGAAGUCUGACAAAUACAAAUAAUAUCAAAGCGAAAUGCUGAAUCACAAGAUCAACAAGCUCUUUCUCAGACUUCUCCGUUUGGGCAAUAUUUCACCGACCUUAGCGGAUCCGGAACGGAUUUUCCAGAUUAUUAAAUUACUUAUUUUAUGUUAUUUUUAUUUUUAUUUUAAUUAUUUAUGUUUUCUGUUAUUUUAUGCAUUUAUUUAAAAUUAUUAAAUAAUCUUUUGUGGAAUAUACUAUUUUCAUGUUAUUGUAUCAUUUUAAAUAUUAUUUAAGUAAAAAAUAGAAACAUUAAAGAUUUAAAGGACCAUUUUAUAAAUAAAAAAAGUCCAACUCCAAAAUGGAGUAAUGAGUAAGAUUACUCCAUAAAUGGAGUAACCCUAGCCAUUACUCCAUUUUCAACUCCAAAAUGAAGUGGGGUUGGAGAAGAUUUUACUCCAUAAUGAUGUUUGGAGUUGAAAAUGGAGUAUGGUUGGAGAUGCCCUUAUUAUCAAAACCUUUAGUUUGGUUUUAAAUAAAUAAAUAUUUAUUUGUAAAGAAUCUUGACGAGUAUUUUAAUUUGGCCAAUCAAAAUAACAUAAAAAUAUAGGCAUUUCCUAUUGUUAUUUAUUUUUCAUGUGGAAUUUUUUGAAAAAUCUUGAAAUUACUUAAAUAUUUUAAUUUGGCCAAUCAAAAUAAUAUAUGUUUUAGAUCUAUUAAAUAACUUGGUGAAUAAGAUAACGCACUUUCUAAAAAAAAAAGGUUACUUAAUGCUUAUAUCAUUAUACAGGAAUUAGUCUGAUGGUAAUAACUAAUAACUUCAGUGCUAGCCCUGGCAAGAAGCCAAAGAAGCAUCUGCUUCCGGUCUUUGAAUUUAUAAAAAUGUUUCAGGCCAAUUUUAAAUGAAAGUUACACUAACCAAACUGGAAUGAAAGUUACACUAACCCAACUGGUAAGUAUACUCUACAUAUGAUUCAUAGGUGACGGUUUCGAUCUAUGCAGCCUGCAUUUUUUAUUUUUAAAUUAAAGUAACUAUUAGUGGUCCAAAAUACAAUUAUUGCCUCCAGCCCACUGAAAGUGUGGGCCACUACUGAAUAACUUGUAUCAUCCACAUAAUUCUUAAAGGAAAAAAAUUGUUAGAAACAGUGAUGUAUGAAGCAAGUAAGAGACUUUCGAUAAGUCUAUAUCCUAAAGACGCGUCCAAAAACUUCAUUGAACGGUUUUUGCUGCUGAAGACUAAAAAAAUGCAGCUACGGCAAGAAUCUUUGAACGGUUUCUUAUUAUUAAAAUCUUUAGUUUGGCUUUAAAUAAAAAGAUUUUUACAAAACAAAGUAUAUAAAACAUUACGCAAUUCAAAUAUUUGUUAUAUGGGUAAUUUGAGUAUUUUUGGGUAUUUUGAUAGUUUAGAAUAAUCAAAGCAAUCUUAACCAAUUUUAGUGUGGUUCAUGUUUAGUUACUAGAAGUUAAAAAAUGUAAAGCUCAAAACCUGAAUUAACCUAACAGAAAUCGAUCAGAAGAAAAAAGUGAACGCCCAGGUCUAUCUUUUACUUUGCAAUGGUUUAUUAUGUAUUUGUCACAUCCCGGGCCCGAGCCCAAUUUUUAGUGACAAGGCCCGUGAUGAUUUGGUCCAUGUAGAGAAAACCCUAGGGUUUUCCCCUUCCUCUUCUAUAAAAAGGAGGCAGCCCCUUAGGUUUUCUCCAGAGACUCAAAACCUAGCGAAGCCCUGCCCAGUUGGAGAGAGAGCAGCCGCCGGCCACCAAACCACCACCGGAGCCACCGCGAGUCACCGGAGCACCGCCGGCGACCGUGUAAUCUCACCGGAGAGGAGAUCUCGCCGUGUUUCGAUCCCUUCUCGUCGUUUUCUUGAGUCUUCUACUAUUUUUCUUCUAGAUCCAGCAACUGGUGAGGAUCUGGUUAGUAAGGAUCUAUAGAACUCAGAUCUACAUCAACUCUCAUAUCAUCUCGCAGAUCUAGGCUAAGGUGAGGGCUUGUUGCAAUCUCUAUCUCCUUAUAUCAUUAUCUCAUCAUGGUAGAAGUGUCUAGGUUGAUCAUUCAUCCUUACUUGUUACUUUCUAUAGAUCUACUACUAUAAAUAACUAUACAUAUGAUAUAUAUAAAUAUCUUGAUGCUUGAUGUUUGAAAAACAUAGAUCUAUUGCUAAGUUUGUUAAAAUAUGGUUGAAUGAUGUUUGAGGAUUGAAUGUGAUGAUUGUAUUGAUUGGAGUUAUUGUAUAAAAGGAUGAUAUCUAUAUAAUGGGGAGAUAUAAAUGAGUUAGAGAAAGGCUUAAGGCCUAUGUGUGCCGGUGUAACGUGGUGGAAUGACAUAUAUGUAUGUCUCGGGCGUUACAUCGUUUCUUGUUGGGUCAUGUGGCAAUCGUUUGAGUUGGCAUGAUUCAUCGCCGGAGCGGGCAUGCGGCGUGCCUGUAAAUGAAGUAACGUAGAAGCGUGAUGUCGUGGAGACAACGUGGAACGUAUGAACAUGGUGGCGGAUCAAGCGAGAACCGGUGUCGGUAACUUGAUUGCGUGAAGGCGUGAGACAGCGUGAUGUCGUGGAGACAACGCAACAUGAAAGUUCUCGCGCGACAACAUGAGGAACGCGGGUACCGAUUUAGGUGGCGUGGUCUCAUUGUUGGCACCGCCGGGGUUUAUCCUCGUUUCUUGUUGAUUGUUUUCGAUUACUGAAUGUUAAAGUUAGAUGUUUAUGCUAUGUUGGGUGAUGAUUGUUGGUGAUUGAUUUCGGGGCUCCUAGAGCUUCCCUCACUGAGUAUUUGUCGAAAUACUCAGCCCUCCUUUCUUUUUCAGGUGAGUUCGAGGAAGUGCAGGAGUGAUCGUCUCGGUGUGGUGCUGGUUUUCGGGUGUUUGGUUUUCUUUAAGUUGUUUUAUUUUAAGACUUGGUGAUUUGGUUUUAAGCGUUUCCUAUUCGUUUUAGUACGUUUUUGUAAAACAUUUGAAUUCGAUCCUUGGGAAUGAGAUUUGCAUUGGCCUA